UGGAGAGGUGGCCUACUGUCUACAAGCAGAAAGUCCUGGAACAAAGCCAGGGUCUCACACAGACAGCCGACCUUCAAGAACUGCUUCAAAAUGCUCAAUGCACAUCGGACCUGGAAAAUGGCUUGGACAGUGACAUGUCAUCCAUUUUGAUUCUUGUCCACCUUCUACCACCAUCACCAAAUGGCCGCAAGAGACCAGGAAAACUUUCAGCCAGACAAGCCAGUAACCAUCUCGUGAAAUUCCUUAAGACUGGGACGAGCAUCCAGGGGCAUCUGGACAGCAUCACUGAAAGUCUUCAACCCUACCUGCUAGCUGUGGGGACCCAGAAGAGUCGGAUUCACAAGUACUUCAUUGUGAUUGACAAACAUGCAAUACCUUGUAAGUCAACAGACACACUUGCCAGUUUUGAUGAGCUUUUCAAAGCUCAUUUUGUCUUUGGCACGUCUUACAACCAGGAUCUGGUAAAUGUGUACAACUUCUUGCAAACCACUAUCUAUGAAAUCGAUGUUGACAUCACUAAGGUGAAUCCAAGGGUUGCAGAGUUGAGGGCUCGGAUGCUUCAUUGAGAUGGUACAUAGCGGUUUGGUUUAAAAGCUUUGUGGCGGCAUUGAGUUGAAAUUACAAUGUUAUGUUUUAUUUGCAAAAGCCCGCAUGCAAAUGCUAAUUCCCUAACAAAACACUUGAAGUUGAUCCACGGACUUUGUUCAGGAAAGACCCUUCGUCUUAAAUGUGGUCAGGCUGGUUGUUCACAAGUUUAUGGCACCUUUUGUGGGUUUCGAAUGCACCUCAAUAAGACACAUGAACCGUGUUCUGAUCCUGGGGAAGGCCCAUCUACAUUUGAUGAUUUAGCAGCAAGUCAUUUUCAUAAGUUGCCAGCAAAAGGUUC